rnacentral:lncRNA from 1 species
CGGCUCGGGACCGCUCCCGGCAGGCCGAAGGCGGCAUUGCCACAAGGCAGGCGCGCAUGCGCACUGCCUCAAACGGCUCUCUGGCCUCACCCGCAGCUCGAAAGCGGUACUGCAAUUCCGAAUCGUGCGCACGCGCAGUGACUUCUCGGGCCGCUACCGUGCCGCUUUCCGUGCCUGCGGCGGGGAACAGCGUGGGAGCAUCAUGCGCGGGUCCCGGCUGGGGUGGCAGUGUCGGGCGGGGAUUGCAGGGAGCCUGCGGAGCCGCGGCGUGAGUGCCAGGUGGCAUUGGGCGGCUGCAAGAAGUCACGUGACAAGCCACUAGGGAUGGUGGCGUUGUACGAACUGGCGUCAUUCCACUCUCAAGAUGGUGACCGCGAGAGGAAUCACAUGUCACAACACUAAAGAUGGCGGAUUAGGAAAAAAAAAACCAUCCAAAUAAACAAAUCAAAAACCAAAACCAAAACCAAAAACCCAAACAAAACAAAACAGAAAACCACCUCGUGGCACCAUGCUCAAGAUGGUGACAGUGUACAGGAAAUGAUGCCAUGCCACUUUCAGGAUGGCAGCCCGGGCAUCCAAACCAGGCCAUCCUUCCCAAGAUGGCAGCAGGCAAGGCCUUGCUUUUGGGGAAGGCCAAAGAAUCACAGUAGAACCUCCCUCGUCAGAAGGGAGCAUCUCUCAUCAGAAAGGAACCUCCCUCCUCAGAAUGGAGCAUCUCUCCUCAGAAAGGAACCUCCUUCCUCAAAAGGGAACCUCUCUCAGUAAAGAGCCUCUCCCCUCAGAAAGACAGGCCUGGCUGCUGAGGACAACCUGUGUGAGAUCUGUGCCAAUGCUGCCUGCACCAUCUGCUUCUGAGAAGGUGGGAAAACCCACACAAAGCAUGUCCAGCUGGGAAGUUUGUGCGUUUCUAUAGCAGGAUCGUGUACUUUCACCCAUCAAUUUUUCUGGGCUCCAUCUCCCAGUGAAGCCAAACUGCAGCUGCCAGCUCUUGGGGAUGUUCCUGCAGUCCUGCAGCACCUGGAUUGAGAUGCCACCAGCAGAGCAGAUCUGCCAGCAAGGAGGCUGGGACUCCUCUGAGAGGUUCCAGUGCUGCAGGAGUUGGGUGACACUGGAAUGGAAAUGCCCUGGGUGUCAUUUCCCACUAUUUUGCCUGGGUUGAACGCACUGGGCAAAACUCAGUACUUUCUGCAGCCUUUUAGUAGGUAAUAUUAAUAUCUAAUAUUCAGUGUCUAAUACUUAAUAGCUAAUAUUUAAUGUCUGAUAAUUAAGAUUUAAUAUUUAAUACCUGGUUGUGAUUUGGCCUCCUGUACACGCAAGAGCAGGACCAGGUUAUCCCCUUUCUCAGCCCUCAUUUCCAGUGGGUUGGAUCCCUUUCCCUUCCCUCUGUCUGCAGGUGAUAUCUCUGAGUUUGUAGCAGAACUGCAACAAGUAACUCAAGAUGAAUUCCUGGUGUUGAGGAACACCUUGACAGCCAGAAACCAGCCUGUUCCUUGUACUGAUUAGGGAAUGGAUACAGAGGAGCAAAGGAAAUCUUCCCUGGUUGUGUAUUGAGAUUCUUUAAACUCCCUUUAGGAGGAAGGAAUUCCAAACUGCAGUGCUGGAAUCAUGUUGAAAUGAAAACAUUGCAUAUUGUUUUAUUUAUUGGUGGCAAGAAUGUGAAGAAAGGAUCUGCACAUGUUUAUAUGUGUAUAGGAAAUAAAAGCUAGGAAUAAUUUGGAUUUUUAAAAUGU